CUACUAAAAAACAAUCUCAGUUCAGAUUGCAGGCUGCAACUCGCCCUGCAUGAAGGUCGGAAUUGCUAGUAAUCGUAGGUCAGCAUACUACGGUGAAUACGUUCCCGGGGCCUUGUACACACCGCCCGUCAAACCAUGAGAGUUGGCAACACCCGAAGUCGGUAGUCUAACCGCAAGGAGGACGCCGCCGAAGGUGGGGUUGAUGAUUAGGGUUAAGUCGUAACAAGGUAUC
rnacentral:rRNA from 1 species